GGUGAAUUUGGGUAGUGAAACCGACCAUGGUGGUAGACCCCUGCGCUGCCAGCGCAGGGGUCAGGGGUUCAAAUCCCCUGUUCUCCU
rnacentral:tRNA from 1 species